CCUACUGGAGGCAGCAGUGGGGAAUUUUCCGCAAUGGGCGCAAGCCUGACGGAGCAAGACCGCGUGAGGGAGGAAGGCUCUUGGGUUGUAAACCUCUUUUAUCAGGGAAGAAGAUCUGACGGUACCUGAUGAAUCAGCAUCGGCUAACUCCGUGCCAGCAGCCGCGGUAAUACGGAGGAUGCAAGCGUUAUCCGGAUUUAUUGGGCGUAAAGCGUCCGCAGGUGGUUAUUCAAGUCUGCUGUUAAAGCGCGAGGCUUAACUUCGUACAGGCAGUGGAAACUGGAUGACUGGAGUAUGGUAGGGGUAGCGGGAAUUCCCAGUGUAGCGGUGAAAUGCGUAGAUAUUGGGAAGAACACCAGCGGCGAAAGCGCGCUACUGGGCCAUUACUGACACUCAUGGACGAAAGCUAGGGGAGCGAAAGGGAUUAGAUACCCCUGUAGUCCUAGCUGUAAACGAUGGGUACUAGGUGUUGACCGUAUCGACCCGGUCAGUGCCGUAGCUAACGCGUUAAGUACCCCGCCUGGGGAGUAGNGCGACGCGAGUGUGAAACGUUAAAGGUAAAGUUAGUACGGUUCGUUGUAGACGUUGCCGACGGACGACGACGAGGGAGGAGG
rnacentral:rRNA from 1 species